AUUGAACGCUGGCGGCAGGCCUAACACAUGCAAGUCGAGCGGCAGCGGGAAAGUAGCUUGCUACCUUUGCCGGCGAGCGGCGGACGGGUGAGUAAUGCCUGGGAAAUUGCCCAGUCGAGGGGGAUAACAGUUGGAAACGACUGCUAAUACCGCAUACGCCCUACGGGGGAAAGCAGGGGACCUUCGGGCCUUGCGCGAUUGGAUAUGCCCAGGUGGGAUUAGCUAGUUGGUGAGGUAAUGGCUCACCAAGGCGAGGAUCCCUAGCUGGUCUGAGAGGAUGAUCAGCCACAAUGGAACUGAGACACGGUCCAGACUCCUACGGGAGGCAGCAGUGGGGAAUAUUGCACAAUGGGGGAAACCCUGAUGCAGCCAUGCCGCGUGUGUGAAGAAGGCCUUCGGGUUGUAAAGCACUUUCAGCGAGGAGGAAAGGUUGAUGCCUAAUACGUAUCAACUGUGACGUUACUCGCAGAAGAAGCACCGGCUAACUCCGUGCCAGCAGCCGCGGUAAUAC
rnacentral:rRNA from 1 species